AUUGAACGCUGGCGGCAGACCUAACACAUGCAAGUCGAGCGGAUGAAGGGAGCUUGCUCCGGGAGGCAGCGGCGGACGGGGGAGGAAUGCCGAGGAAGCGGCCGGGGAGUGGGGGAUAACGUCCGGAAACGGGCGCUAAUACCGCAUACGUCCUGAGGGAGAAAGUGGGGGAUCUUCGGACCUCACGCUAUCGGAUGAGCCUAGGUCGGAUUAGCUAGUUGGUGGGGUAAAGGCCUACCAAGGCGACGAUCCGUAACUGGUCUGAGAGGAUGAUCAGUCACACUGGAACUGAGACACGGUCCAGACUCCUACGGGAGGCAGCAGUGGGGAAUAUUGGACAAUGGGCGAAAGCCUGAUCCAGCCAUGCCGCGUGUGUGAAGAAGGUCUUCGGAUUGUAAAGCACUUUAAGUUGGGAGGAAGGGCAGUAAGUUAAUACCUUGCUGUUUUGACGUUACCAACAGAAUAAGCACCGGCUAACUUCGUG
rnacentral:rRNA from 1 species